rnacentral:rRNA from 1 species
AGAGUUUGAUCAUGGCUCAGGAUGAACGCUAGCGACAGGCCUAACACAUGCAAGUCGAGGGGCAGCGAAGAGGUAGCAAUACCUUUGUCGGCGACCGGCGCACGGGUGAGUAACACGUAUGCAAUCCACCUGUAACAGGGGGAUAACCCGGAGAAAUCCGGACUAAUACCCCAUAAUAUGGGCGCUCCGCAUGGAGAGCCCAUUAAAGUGAGCAAUUUUGGUUACAGACGAGCAUGCGCUCCAUUAGCCAGUUGGCGGGGUAACGGCCCACCAAAGCGACGAUGGAUAGGGGUUCUGAGAGGAAGGUCCCCCACAUUGGAACUGAGACACGGUCCAAACUCCUACGGGAGGCAGCAGUGAGGAAUAUUGGUCAAUGGUCGGCAGACUGAACCAGCCAAGUCGCGUGAGGGAAGACGGCCCUACGGGUUGUAAACCUCUUUUGUCGGAGAGUAAAGUACGCUACGUGUAGUGUAUUGCAAGUAUCCGAAGAAAAAGCAUCGGCUAACUCCGUGCCAGCCGCCGCGGUAAUUC